CUUGGUUUUGUAUAAUUAGAGUAUGUUUGUUUUUCGUACAAGAGGUAGAGUUUUUUAAUCAAGU
rnacentral:tRNA from 1 species